rnacentral:rRNA from 1 species
CCACCACCAAAGCAUUCUCUGGUGUUGAAGGCCCUGCAAAGCAGCAUCGCGGUGGCGGAGCGUCGUUUGCGACGCCCAACACACAAAACAAGCGGUGAGUGCUUUGGGGUGGGGUGACUGCGUACCUUUUGUAUAAUGGGUCAGCGACUUAUAUUCUGUAGCAAGGUUAACCGUAUAGGGGAGCCGAAGGGAAACCGAGUCUUAACUGGGCGUUAAGUUGCAGGGUAUAGACCCGAAACCCGGUGAUCUAGCCAUGGGCAGGUUGAAGGUUGGGUAACACUAACUGGAGGACCGAACCGACUAAUGUUGAAAAAUUAGCGGAUGACUUGUGGCUGGGGGUGAAAGGCCAAUCAAACCGGGAGAUAGCUGGUUCUCCCCGAAAGCUAUUUAGGUAGCGCCUCGUGAACUCAUCUUCGGGGGUAGAGCACUGUUUCGGCUAGGGGGUCAUCCCGACUUACCAACCCGAUGCAAACUGCGAAUACCGAAGAAUGUUAUCACGGGAGACACACGGCGGGUGCUAACGUCCGUCGUGAAGAGGGAAACAACCCAGACCGCCAGCUAAGGUCCCAAAGUCACAGUUAAGUGGGAAACGAUGUGGGAAGGCUCAGACAGCCAGGAUGUUGGCUUAGAAGCAGCCAUCAUUUAAAGAAAGCGUAAUAGCUCACUGGUCGAGUCGGCCUGCGCGGAAGAUGUAACGGGGCUAAACUGUGCACCGAAGCUGCGGCAGCGACGCUUAUGCGUUGUUGGGUAGGGGAGCGUUCUGUAAGCCUGCGAAGGUGUCCUGUGAGGGAUGCUGGAGGUAUCAGAAGUGCGAAUGCUGACAUAAGUAACGAUAAUGCGGGUGAAAAGCCCGCUCGCCGGAAGACCAAGGGUUCCUGUCCAACGUUAAUCGGGGCAGGGUGAGUCGACCCCUAAGGCGAGGCCGAAAGGCGUAGUCGAUGGGAAACGGGUUAAUAUUCCCGUACUUGGUGUUACUGCGAAGGGGGGACGGAGAAGGCUAUGUUGGCCGGGCGACGGUUGUCCCGGUUUAAGCGUGUAGGCUGGUUUUCCAGGCAAAUCCG